rnacentral:rRNA from 1 species
CCUACGGGUGGCAGCAGUGGGGAAUAUUGGACAAUGGGCGCAAGCCUGAUCCAGCCAUGCCGCGUGAGUGAUGAAGGCCUUAGGGUUGUAAAGCUCUUUCGUCAGGGAAGCGGUACCUGAAGAAGAAGCCCCGGCUAACUUCGUGCCAGCAGCCGCGGUAAUACGAAGGGGGCUAGCGUUGCUCGGAAUCACUGGGCGUAAAGCGCACGUAGGCGGAUCUCUAAGUCGGAGGUGAAAUCCUGGAGCUCAACUCCAGAACUGCCUUCGAUACUGGGGACCUUGAGUCCGGGAGAGGUGAGUGGAACUCCGAGUGUAGAGGUGAAAUUCGUAGAUAUUCGGAAGAACACCAGUGGCGAAGGCGGCUCACUGGCCCGGACUGACGCUGAGGUGCGAAAGCGUGGGGAGCAAACAGGAUUAGAUACCCUUGUAGUC